rnacentral:rRNA from 1 species
AACGAACGCUGGCGGCGUGGAUAAGACAUGCAAGUCGAACGGGAUUUUUUCCUGUAGCAAUACAGGAAAAAGUCUAGUGGCGAACGGGUGCGUAACACGUGAGCAACCUGCCGUGAAGUGGGGGAUAGCUCGCCGAAAGGCGAAUUAAUACCGCAUGUGGCCAAGGAAGACAUCUUCCUGACGCCAAAGCCGGGGCAACCUGGCGCUUCUCGAGGGGCUCGCGGCCUAUCAGCUUGUUGGUGAGGUAACGGCUCACCAUGGCUAUGACGGGUAGCUGGUCUGAGAGGACGACCAGCCACACUGGAACUGAGACACGGUCCAGACACCUACGGGUGGCAGCAGUCGAGAAUUUUUCACAAUGGGGGAAACCCUGAUGGAGCGACGCCGCGUGGAGGAUGAAGGUUUUCGGAUUGUAAACUCCUGUCAUUAGAGAACAAGGCACACGGUUUAACUGGCCGUGUGUUGAUAGUAUCUGAAGAGGAAGUGACGGCUAACUCUGUGCCAGCCGCCGCCGUAA